GAGGGUAUAGCUCAGUGGUAUAGUGCAUGCUUAGCUUGCGUGAGGUCCUGGAUUCAACCCCCAGUACCUCCA
rnacentral:tRNA from 1 species